rnacentral:RNase_P_RNA from 2 species
GCAAAUACCCGCCUACAAAAAGUGCUCCGGUGCGAAUCUCGCCUGGGGCACUGGUCCUAACGGCCCAGUGCGGGUGGGAAAUUCGGUGGUUCGCCCCAUCCCUCCCCGUGCGUCUUUCGGGGCGCGCGGGGCGAAAAAAUGCUCCUGAGAGCUUCCUGGGCGGAAAUAUUUCCGCCGGGCGUCGCCAUCAGAAAUUCAGCAGGCUAUGCUUGCAUGGGAGGCGGCGCGGAUGGUUGGUCUCUCACAAUGUGGAGAGGCUGUUGAGUGCAAUUUGCGGCCCUGGCACCCGAUACCGAUCAUUGC